GGUUAAAAAGCUCGUAGUUGGAUUUCUGUGGUAGGCAGCCGGUCCGCACUAUGUGCGAGUAUCUGGUUCGGCUACUGCAUCCUCCUGAAGAACGUUGGUGCGCUUCACUGCGUGGCACGGUAUUCAGGACUUUUACUUUGAGGAAAUUAGAGUGUUCACGGCAGGCGCUUGCCCUGAAUAUAUUAGCAUGGAAUAAUAGCACAGGACCCCUUUCCAAAGCUGUUGGUUUUUGGAACGAGGUAAUCAGAAUAAGGAUAGUUGGGGGUAUUCGUAUUUAACUGUCAGAGGUGAAAUUCUUGGAUUUUUUAAAGACGAACUAUUGCGAAGGCAUCUGCCCAGGAUGUUUUUAUUGAUCAAGAACGAAAGUUAGGGGAUCGAAGACAAUCAGAUACCGUCCUAGUCUUAACCUUAAACUAUGCCGGCUGGAGAUUGGAGUUGUCAGAAUUGUGACAUCUUCAGCAUCCUGAGAGAAAUCGAAGUCUUUGGGUUCCGGGGGGAGUAUGGUCGCAAGGCUGAAACUUAAAGGAAUUGACGGAAGGGCACCACCAGGAGUGGAGCCUGCGGCUUAAUUUGACUCAACACGGGGAAACUCACCAGGUCCAGACAUAGAUAGGAUUGACAGACUGAUAGCUCUUUCUUAAU
rnacentral:rRNA from 1 species